AGCCUGAUCCAGCCAUGCCGCGUGUGUGAAGAAGGUCUUCGGAUUGUAAAGCACUUUAAGUUGGGAGGAAGGGCAGUAAGUUAAUACCUUGCUGUUUUGACGUUACCGACAGAAUAAGCACCGGCUAACUUCGUGCCAGCAGCCGCGGUAAUACGAAGGGUGCAAGCGUUAAUCGGAAUUACUGGGCGUAAAGCGCGCGUAGGUGGUUCGUUAAGUUGGAUGUGAAAGCCCCGGGCUCAACCUGGGAACUGCAUCCAAAACUGGCGAGCUAGAGUACGGUAGAGGGUGGUGGAAUUUCCUGUGUAGCAGUGAAAUGCGUAAAUAUGGGAAGGAACACCGGUGGCGAAGGCGACCCCCUGGACCUAUACUGACACUCAGGAGCGAAAGCGUGGGGAGCAAACAGGAUUAGAUACCCUGGUAGUCCACGCCGUAAACGAUGUCAACUAGCCGUUGGGAUCCUUGAGAUUUUAGUGGCGCAGCUAACGCAUUAAGUUGACCGCCUGGGGAGUACGGCCGCAAGGUUAAACCUCAAAUGAAUUGACGGGGG
rnacentral:rRNA from 1 species